AUUCUUCGGAAUCUUGAGAGCGGCGUACGGGUGCGGAACACGUGUGCAACCUGCCUUUAUCAAGGGGAUAGCCUUUCGAAAGGAAGAUUAAUACCCUAUAAUAUAUUGACUGGCAUCAGUUAAUAUUGAAAACUACGGUGGAUAAAGAUGGGCACGCGCAAGAUUAGCUAGUUGGUGAGGUAACGGCUCACCAAGGCGACGAUCUUUAGGGGGCCUGAGAGGGUGAUCCCCCACACUGGUACUGAGACACGGACCAGACUCCUACGGGAGGCAGCAGUGAGGAAUAUUGGACAAUGGGUGAAAGCCUGAUCCAGCCAUCCCGCGUGUAGGAAGACGGCCCUAUGGGUUGUAAACUACUUUUAUCUGGGGAUAAACCUACUUACGUGUAAGUAGCUGAAGGUACCAGAUGAAUAAGCACCGGCUAACUCCGUGCCAGCAGCCGCGGUAAUACGGNAGGGUGCAAGCGUUAUCCGGAUUUAUUGGGUUUAAAGGGUCCGUAGNGCGGACUGAUAAGUCAGUGGUGAAAUCCGACAGCUUAACUGUCGAACUGCCAUUGAUACUGUUAGUCUUGAGUAAGGUUGAAGUGGCUGGAAUAAGUAGUGUAGCGGUGAAAUGCAUAGAUAUUACUUAGAACACCAAUUGCGAAGGCAGGUCACUAAGUCUUAACUGACGCUGAUGGACGAAAGCGUGGGGAGCGAACAGGAUUAGAUACCCUGGUAGUCCACGCCGUAAACGAUGAUUACUCGUUUUU
rnacentral:rRNA from 1 species